AUUGAACGCUGGCGGCAUGCCUUACACAUGCAAGUCGAACGGCAGCACGGGCUUCGGCCUGGUGGCGAGUGGCGAACGGGUGAGUAAUACAUCGGAACGUGCCCUGUUGUGGGGGAUAACCAGUCGAAAGAUUGGCUAAUACCGCAUACGACCUGAGGGUGAAAGCGGGGGACCGCAAGGCCUCGCGCAGCAGGAGCGGCCGAUGUCUGAUUAGCUAGUUGGUGGGGUAAAGGCCCACCAAGGCGACGAUCAGUAGCUGGUCUGAGAGGACGAUCAGCCACACUGGGACUGAGACACGGCCCAGACUCCUACGGGAGGCAGCAGUGGGGAAUUUUGGACAAUGGGGGCAACCCUGAUCCAGCAAUGCCGCGUGUGUGAAGAAGGCCUUCGGGUUGUAAAGCACUUUUGUCCGGAAAGAAAACCUCUGCCCUAAUACGGCGGGGGGAUGACGGUACCGGAAGAAUAAGCACCGGCUAACUACGUGCCAGCCGCCGGAGUAA
rnacentral:rRNA from 1 species